AGCGAACGCUGGCGGCAGGCUUAACACAUGCAAGUCGAACGGCAGCACGGGAGCAAUCAUGGUGGCGAGUGGCGAACGGGUGAGUAAAGUAUCGGAACGUGCCCAGUCGUGGGGGAUAACGUAGCGAAAGUUACGCUAAUACCGCAUACGAUCUAUGGAGGAAAGCGGGGGAUCGGAAGACCUCGCGCGAUUGGAGCGGCCGAUAUCAGAUUAGGUAGUUGGUGGGGUAAAGGCUCACCAAGCCGACGAUCUGUAGCUGGUCUGAGAGGACGACCAGCCACACUGGGACUGAGACACGGCCCAGACUCCUACGGGAGGCAGCAGUGGGGAAUUUUGGACAAUGGGCGAAAGCCUGAUCCAGCCAUGCCGCGUGCAGGAUGAAGGCCUUCGGGUUGUAAACUGCUUUUGUACGGAACGAAAAGGUUUGGCCUAAUAAGCUGAGCUCAUGACGGUACCGUAAGAAUAAGCACCGGCUAACUACGUGCCAGCCGCCGCAGUAAGAC
rnacentral:rRNA from 1 species